UAUGAACGCUGGCGGCGUGCUUAACACAUGCAAGUCGAACGAAGCACCUUGAUUUGCUUCUUCGGAUGAAGAUCUUGGUGACUGAGUGGCGGACGGGUGAGUAACGCGUGGGUCACCUGCCUCAUACAGGGGGAUAACAGUUAGAAAUGACUGCUAAUACCGCAUACGACCACAGCACCGCAUGGUGCAGGGGUAAAAACUCCGGUGGUAUGAGAUGGACCCGCGUCUGAUUAGGUAGUUGGUGGGGUAACGGCCUACCAAGCCGACGAUCAGUAGCCGAACUGAGAGGGUGACCGGCCACAGUGGGACUGAGACACGGCCCAAACUCCUACGGGAGGCAGCAGUGGGGAAUAUUGCACAAUGGGAGAAACCCUGAUGCAGCGACGCCGCGUGAGCGAUGAAGUAUUUCGGUAUGUAAAGCUCUAUCAGCAGGGAAGAAAAUGACGGUACCUGACUAAGAAGCACCGGCUAAAUACGUG
rnacentral:rRNA from 1 species